rnacentral:rRNA from 1 species
AGAGUUUGAUUCUGGCUCAGAACGAACGCUGGCAGCGUGGAUUAGGCAUGCAAGUCGAACGGGAAGCUACAAUUUCAAGUUUUCGGACGAGAAAUUGUAGUGGAGAGUGGCGGAAGGGUGAGUAACGCGUGGGCAACCUGCCCCCAAGUCUGGGAUAACGCUCCGAAAGGAACGCUAAUACCGGAUGUGGUUCUUUGUCGCAUGGCAGGGACACUAAAGGUGGGGAUUCUUCGGAACCUGCCGCUUAGGGAGGGGCCCGCGUCCCAUCAGUUUGUUGGUAAGGUAACGGCUUACCAAGGCUUACGGGUAGCUGGUCUGAGAGGAUGGUCAGCCACACUGGGACUGAGACACUGCCCAGACUCCUACGGGAGGCUGCAGUCGAGGAUCAUUCGCAAUGCGCGAAAGCGUGACGAUGCGACGCUGCGUGGAGGAUGACGGCCUUAGGGUUGUAAACUCCUGUCAUGAGGGAAAAGACGUCCUGAUGUUAAUAGCAUCGGGACCCGAUGGUACCUCAAGAGGAAGCCACGGCUAACUCUGUGCCAGCAGCCGCGGUAAUACAGAGGUGGCGAGCGUUGUUCGGAUUUACUGGGCGUAAAGGGUGCGUAGGUGGUCUCGUGUGUUGGAUGUGAAAUCCCAUGGCUCAACUGUGGAACUGCAUUCAAAACUGCGAGACUUGAGUGCGGGAGAGGAGAGCGGAAUUCUUGGUGUAGCGGUGAAAUGCGUUGAUAUCAAGAAGAACACCGGUGGCGAAGGCGGCUCUCUGGAACGUUACUGACACUGAGGCACAAAAGCUGGGGGAGCAAACAGGAUUAGAUACCCUGGUAGUCCCAGCCGUAAACGGUGUGAACUUGGUGUGGGGAGAUUUGACCCUCUCCGUGCCGGAGCUAACGCGUUAAGUUCACCGCCUGGGGAGUACGGCCGCAAGGCUAAAACUCAAAGAAAUUGACGGGGGCCCGCACAAACGGAGGAGCAUGUGGCUUAAUUCGAUGCAACGCGAAGAACCUUACCAGGGCUUGACAUGGCGACCCUUCGGGGGUGGGAGUGAAAGCUCCCUUUACGAUCACAGGUGCUGCAUGGCUGUCGUCAGUUCGUGCCGUGAGGUGUUGGGUUAAGUCCCGCAACGAACGCAACCCCUGUGGUUAGUUGCUAUCGGCGGUGAUGAGCCGUCGAGCACUCUAGCCAGACUGCCCGUACAAGCGGGAGGAAGGUGGGGACGACGUCAAGUCAGUAUGGCCCUUACGCCCUGGGCUGCACACGUGCUACAAUGGUCGGUUCAAUGGGAAGCAAGACCGCGAGGUGGAGCAAAUCCAGAAAGCCGGCCUCAGUUCGGAUUGGAGUCUGCAACUCGACUCCAUGAAGUUGGAUUCGCUAGUAACGGCGUAUCAGCUACGACGCCGUGAAUACGUUCCCGGGCCUUGUACACACCGCCCGUCACAUCAUGAAAGCCGUCUGGACCCGAAGUCGCUGAGCAAACCUUCACAGGAUGCAGGUGCCGAAGGUCUGGGUGGUGAUUGGGAUGAAGUCGUAACAAGGUA